CACUGGAUGCGUGGCGUGAGCGUGGCGUUUCUGAUGCGUGUCAGCUGCGUGGCGGCUGCGUCUCGUUUUCUGUGUCUUUACACACCAGAACCGUGCCAGACGCGGCGCUGGCGCGCUGCUGCUGCUGUAGGUGACAUAGGGAGGCCUCCGACAGACCAGGCUCUUGUCUUCACGACAACAUUUUCAACUUUUUUCACACACCUACACCUUCCAAAAUCCGAAAAAUGGUUCGAGUUGUUGACAGAAGAAAAGCCAUUGCGGCCCUUCUUCUGUUAAGACUUCGCCGGAGGAGAAACAGACGAUGAUACCUUGCAGCAGGAGAAAGCUUUGCUAGCCUGGCCUAUCAAUAUCAUUUGGGGGUAAUAACAGUGUGCUCAUCUGUGCACAUGACGUGCAGUGCCAUUGAAAAAAGGAUGAUGUCAACCCACAUUCCUCCACCAACUGAGGACCAGUGGAAAGCCAUUGCUUCCAAAUUUUGGGACAAGUGGAAAUUUCCAAACUGCUUGGGUGCAAUAGAUGGGAAGCACAUCACCAUCAAAGCACCUCCCAAUUCUGGAAGUCUGUUUUUUAAUUAUAAGAAGACAUUCUCUAUUGUUCUUCUGGCACUUGUGGAUGCAGACUACAGGUUCACCUACAUGCAGGUGGGAGACUUUGGCCGGGCCAGUGACGGGGGGGUGUACGGCUCUUCGCGGCUUGGCAGGGGCAUGGAGGCCAAAACACUGAAUGUGCCCGAAGACAGCCCUUUACCAGGUUCAGGUGUGCAGGGUCCCAUGCCCUAUGUAA